rnacentral:rRNA from 1 species
ACUCCUACGGGAGGCAGCAGUGGGGAAUUUUGGACAAUGGGCGCAAGCCUGAUCCAGCCAUGCCGCGUGCAGGAUGAAGGCCUUCGGGUUGUAAACUGCUUUUGUACGGAACGAAAAGACUCUUUCUAAUAAAGAGGGUCCAUGACGGUACCGUAAGAAUAAGCACCGGCUAACUACGUGCCAGCAGCCGCGGUAAU